AGGACGAACGCUGGCGGCGUGCUUAACACAUGCAAGUCGAGCGGAAAGGCCCUUUCGGGGGUACUCGAGCGGCGAACGGGUGAGUAACACGUGAGUAAUCUGCCCUUGGCUUUGGGAUAACUACCGGAAACGGUGGCUAAUACCCGGAUACGACGCACUCAGGCAUCUGAUGUGUGUGGAAAGUUUUUCGGCCAGGGAUGUGCUCGCGGCCUAUCAGCUUGUUGGCGGGGUAAUGGCCUACCAAGGCUUCGACGGGUAGCCGGCCUGAGAGGGUGACCGGCCACACUGGGACUGAGACACGGCCCAGACUCCUACGGGAGGCAGCAGUGGGGAAUAUUGGACAAUGGGCGGAAGCCUGAUCCAGCAACGCCGCGUGAGGGAUGACGGCCUUCGGGUUGUAAACCUCUUUCAGUACCGACGGAGCGCCGAUGAUGGUGGUGACGGUAGGUACAGAAGAAGCACCGGCCAACUACGUG
rnacentral:rRNA from 1 species